AUGCAAGUCGAACGAGCGAGAGAGAGCUUGCUUUCUCGAGCGAGUGGCGAACGGGUGAGUAACGCGUGAGGAACCUGCCUCAAAGAGGGGGACAACAGUUGGAAACGACUGCUAAUACCGCAUAAGCCCACGACCCGGCAUCGGGUAGAGGGAAAAGGAGCAAUCCGCUUUGAGAUGGCCUCGCGUCCGAUUAGCUAGUUGGUGAGGUAACGGCCCACCAAGGCGACGAUCGGUAGCCGGACUGAGAGGUUGAACGGCCACAUUGGGACUGAGACACGGCCCAGACUCCUACGGGAGGCAGCAGUGGGGAAUAUUGCACAAUGGGGGAAACCCUGAUGCAGCGACGCCGCGUGGAGGAAGAAGGUCUUCGGAUUGUAAACUCCUGUUGUUGAGGAAGAUAAUGACGGUACUCAACAAGGAAGUGACGGCUAACUACGUGCCAGCAGCCGCGGUAAAACGUAGGUCACAAGCGUUGUCCGGAAUUACUGGGUGUAAAGGGAGCGCAGGCGGGAAGACAAGUUGGAAGUGAAAUCCAUGGGCUCAACCCAUGAACUGCUUUCAAAACUGUUUUUCUUGAGUAGUGCAGAGGUAGGCGGAAUUCCCGGUGUAGCGGUGGAAUGCGUAGAUAUCGGGAGGAACACCAGUGGCGAAGGCGGCCUACUGGGCACCAACUGACGCUGAGGCUCGAAAGUGUGGGUAGCAAACAGGAUUAGAUACCCUGGUAGUCCACACCGUAAACGAUGAUUACUAGGUGUUGGAGGAUUGACCCCUUCAGUGCCGCAGUUAACACAAUAAGUAAUCCACCUGGGGAGUACGACCGCAAGGUUGAAACUCAAAGGAAUUGACGGG
rnacentral:rRNA from 1 species